GAUGAACGCUAGCGGCAGGCCUAAUACAUGCAAGUCGAACGAGAUUAAGAGGCUUGCUUCUUAUGAAAGGGGCGCACGGGUGCGUAACGCGUAUGCAACCUACCUUAAUCAGGGGGAUAGCCCGAAGAAAUUCGGAUUAAGACCGCAUAAAAACACAGGAUAGCAUUAUCCAAUGUUCAAAUAUUUAUAGGAUUAAGAUGGGCAUGCGUGUCAUUAGCUAGUUGGCGGGGUAACGGCCCACCAAGGCGACGAUGACUAGGGGAUCUGAGAGGAUGACCCCCCACACUGGUACUGAGACCCGGACCAGACUCCUACGGGAGGCAGCAGUAAGGAAUAUUGGUCACUGGAGGGAACUCUGAACCAGCCAUGCCGCGUGCAGGAAGUCAGCCCUCUGGGUCGUAAACUGCUUUUAUUCGGGAAUAAACCUUUCUACGUGUAGGAAGCUGACUGUACCGAAGGAAUAAGGAUCGGCUAACUCCGUG
rnacentral:rRNA from 1 species